UUUAUACUUAUGGUUUAUUUGUUGUGUAUUGUAUAUUAAUUUGUUACAACGCUUUACGUGUCGAAAAAAUGUUUUGAUAUCGAAAAAAAGGUUUUGAUAAAAUUAUGCAUUAAUAGCACAAUUUCCAGGAGGAAAACGUUUUUUACACGAAGGCGUAUGGCGCAAUAAAACGUUCUUUUGUAAGAUCGUAUUGCAUUCAAUCUAAAUUUAAAUAGGCUCGUUUAAUGAAAGCUGUGUUUCACAUUAUGCACUGUACUCUUUACACUUCAGAAAAAUGGUGUAGUCAUAUGGUCGUGUUAAUGAAAUUCUCAAACAUAUUUACCGACAUAAGUGUUUAAGAUUAUUUUUUCGUAAGUGAUGAUGCAAUCAUGUUGGAUUAUUUGAUAAUUGUGAACAUUAAAAAAGCGUUAUGUACAUGUAUGUAUACAGUUAUCGAUACGAUUCGGUUUAUAUGCAUGAAUUGGCGAAUCAUCGAUUUCACCGAUAUCCACUGCGAUCACGGCGAAUCACCGCAAAAUUGAGGGGAACCAGCGCGGAGAUUAUCUUGCUCUCGUGCGACGAGGAAGUGACGAAUAACGUGAAAUCGCGGUGAUAUUCCACUAAAAAAGCAAACUGUCCGCCUUGACUCCGUGAAUAAGGCAAAAAUCACGGGUCGCGUAGUGUAUAAACUCACGCUGUUCGGUCAGGUGAUUUUUUGUCCGGACAGGCUUACUUUUCCAUCAGCCUGUCCGGUUGACAGGCACUGUUUGGAACUUUUCAGGAAGCCUGUAAGUUCAACGUCAAGGUCACUGGGGUCAAAAUUUGUGUGCGUAUAUGGAAAGGCCUUGUCUAUAUACACAUGCAUCCAAAUAUGAAGGUUAUAUCUCAAGGGGCAUAAAAGUUAUGAGCAUUUUGAGAAACCUAAACGAAAAGUGUGACGGAAGGACAGACAGACGGACUGACAGUCCGAUCACUAUAUGCCCUUCUUCGGGGGCAAACAAAUUAUAUAUUGAAGACGAAUUUAAUAAAAUGCAGCUAAGACAAAUAAGCGCCCCGAGCCAGUUGUGACAAAGAUAUUUCGUACAUAUUUGCCUAUAAUAACCGAAGCAUUAAAUUUUGUCUUUUUAUUAGGAUCAGAGUUAGUGUUUGCAGGGCUUGUUUUCCUUCUUUGGGACCCGCCGAAAAACGGCCCUUUCUCCUCGGAUUUUUUUUUCCCCUCAGCAAGUAAGUUUUCCCCCAGACUUCAUACGCCCCCCCCCCAUUCUUUUUUUUUAAACUUCAAAUAGGUAAGUUAACCUGAUCUAGUGAAGAAAAUAUAACAUAUUGCAUAAUUAAAUUAUCUGUUGCCUUGAAUUUGUUUUAAAAACAGCAAAAUAUGUUAAAUUGAUUAUUUAAGACUACUUAUUCCCCCCAAAAUCCAGCGUUUCGCGUGAUUUUUUCCCCCAAAAUCCAGCAUUUCGCGAGAUUAUUUUUCCCCUCAAAAAAGGCCAGGCUUUUUCCCCAAAAUAAGAUAAAACACCCUGGUUUGUGUGCAUAUGAAUAGAUAUCGUUGCAGGAAAUGAAAAUGAUCCUUAAAACUAAAUUUAGAUUCACACGGUACAUGCAUGAUACACAGGGACAUUUAAUAAAAAUAUCUACGUACUACAAAUAUAUAUACAAGGGAUACAACUUUAAAAUUUCCAGCACAUCACCAUGAUCUGAACAAAAGCAAAAUAAUUGCCCUAGGCCCAAUUGUUAUGGGCGAGAAGAUUUUGAAAGUUUUCACAAAAUAGGCCUUAUAUAAGCAUAUGUUCAAUUUUGUGACCUCCGGGGCAGGGUCAAAUUUGACCCCAGGAGCAUAAUGUGAAGACAUUUGGUAGAUGACUAUUCGAUAUCUCUUCAUACCAAAUUUGAUAGCCCUAGGCGCAAUGGUUACUGACGGGAAGAUUUUGAAAGUUUUCACAAAAUAGGCCUUAUAUAAGCAUAUGUUCAAUUGUGUGACCCCCGGGGCAGGGUCAAAUUUGACCCCAGGGGCAUAAUUUGAAGAAAUUCGGUAUAGGACUAUUAGAUGUCUCUACAUACAAAAUUUGAUAGCCCCAGGCCCAAUGAUUAUGGAAGAGAAGAUUUUGAAAUUUUUCACAAAAUAGGCCUUAUAUAAGCAAAUUUUCAUUUUUGUGACCCACGGGGCAGUGUCAAAUUUGACCCCAGGAGCAUAAUUUGAACAAAUUUGAAAGAGGUUCACCUCAGGAACACUCAUGUGAAAUUUCAUCAGAAUUGGACCAGUAGUUUAGGAGAAGAAGAUGUUUUAAAGAAAAGUUAUCGCACUCACGCACGGACGCACGCACGACGGACACAGGACCAUGAAAUAAGCCCCGCUGGCUUGUGGCCAGUGGAGCUAAAAAUCAAUACUUGCACAUUCGUAUACCUUGACCUUGUACAUUGCCGCAUAAUUGUCGCGCUCUUUUGUCGGGAAAUAUACAUGAUGACUAUAUUGGAAGCAUUUGUAAACAUCGUGUUAACAUUAAAACAUUGGAAAAGUGUUUCGGAUUAUAUGUAUUUAUUAUCGUUGUGUGAAUGAAUAAACUGGUUAUACAGGUUUUUGAAGGUGAUAUAUGUCCAAUGGUGCGGAAAUCAAGAUUUCCUCGUGCACAGAUUUGUAGGUUUAGUCAUUCGACAGGCAAGCAGGGUAGAGCGAAGACUUGAUUUAAAUCGUUUUAUUUAUUUUCUCAACCACAUUUCAUUGUGAAAUUUGAUUUAUUUUUGUGUCGUAUUGGCGUUGGUAAUUUAUUAAUAUGGACAGUCAGGAUGAGAGGAGAGAUCGUCUCGCCGGCGGGGACAGGGCUGGCACAGUAAAUGGACACACGUAGCGACCACGUGGUAGCGGUCAAGAAGUGAGUUUUAUGAGAGCAGACGGAUGACUGACUUGAGAUAGAAAGGGGCAUUGGUUCCGGACAUUUUACCAUGGGAUUUACAUAGUUUUCUAAAAAGAAUACUUAACGUUUACGAUAUAGUAACAGCUGAUUAUUUGUAGAUUUCUCUAAAAUUAGAGGUUUCAGGAGGUGAUGAAGGCACCUAGACACCGGUCUUGAGCCAUGGGUCCUCAUACGUCCCCCUGCCAUUAAAAGAAAAAUGAAAAAUGAGCAGUAGGGUUGCGUAUCCCGCUCGCGGUUACACCUGAAUCGUUCGUUACCACCGAUUAUUGUUUGGGGUGUACGUGAAGUCAUGUGCACUUCUCUUAAUUGAUGGUAAUGAAUAAAUCUUGUAAUUUAUUUUUUCGUAAGUGAUGUUGCAAUUAUGUUGGAUUAUUUGAUAAUUCUGAACAUUAAAGAAGCGUUAUGUACA